CCUACGGGCGGCAGCAGUGAGGAAUAUUGGUCAAUGGCCGGGAGGCUGAACCAGCCAAGUCGCGUGAGGGAUGACGGCCCUGCGGGUUGUAAACCUCUUUUGUCGGGGAACAAAGGGAGGCACGUGUGCCUGAUUGAGUGUACCUGAAGAAAAAGCAUCGGCUAACUCCGUGCCAGCAGCCGCGGUAAUCCGGAGGAUGCGAGCGUUAUCCGGAUUUAUUGGGUUUAAAGGGUGCGCAGGCGGUGGUUAAAGUCAGCGGUCAAAUGGCGGGGCUCAACCGCGUACUGACGUUGAUACUGGCAUCCUUGAGUGCGGGUGAGGUAGGCGGAAUGCGUGGUGUAGCGGUGAAAUGCAUAGAUAUCACGCAGAACUCCGAUUGCGAAGGCAGCAUACCGGCGCGCAACUGACGCUGAUGCACGAAAGCGUGGGUAUCGAACAGGAUUAGAUACCCGAGUAGUC
rnacentral:rRNA from 1 species